GGGGAUGUAGCUCAGUGGUGGAGCACUUGCCUAUCAUGCACGAGACCAUGAGUUCCAUCCCCA
rnacentral:tRNA from 1 species